rnacentral:snoRNA from 1 species
GAUGGUGAUGAUGUGUUUUUAUGUGAGUAUGAAUAUGAUGUGCAUUGGCCAUAGUUUCAAGCGUUUGGUUGAAUC